GACGAACGCUGGCGGCGUGCUUAACACAUGCAAGUCGAACGGAAAGGCCCUGCUUUUGUGGGGUGCUCGAGUGGCGAACGGGUGAGUAACACGUGAGUAACCUGCCCUUUACUUUGGGAUAACUUCAGGAAACUGGGGCUAAUACCGGAUAGGAGCUCCUGCUGCAUGGUGGGGGUUGGAAAGUUUCGGCGGUUGGGGAUGGACUCGCGGCUUAUCAGCUUGUUGGUGGGGUAGUGGCUUACCAAGGCUUUGACGGGUAGCCGGCCUGAGAGGGUGACCAGCCACAUUGGGACUGAGAUACGGCCCAGACUCCUACGGGAGGCAGCAGUGGGGAAUAUUGCACAAUGGGCGGAAGCCUGAUGCAGCAACGCCGCGUGCGGGAUGACGGCCUUCGGGUUGUAAACCGCUUUCGCCUGUGACGAAGCGUGAGUGACGGUAAUGGGUAAAGAAGCACCGGCUAACUACGUG
rnacentral:rRNA from 1 species